rnacentral:lncRNA from 1 species
UUCACAUCACACAUAAAAUAGAGAACUAAAAAAAUUAGAAUAUUUUAUUUCUCUCCCCUUAAAAUAAAUUUGGUCCUACAAAUUUGAAAUUACCAAGGAUUUAAAUUUAGAAAUAGAUGAGGAUACUUAUCUUUCAUCUCCUCUUCCAACUCCUAAGUAGCUUCUUCAGUAGAUUGGUGUUGCCAUAGCACCUUCAUUAGUGGAAUCACCUUGCACUGUAGUACAUUUUCCUUACGACAAAAAACUGCACAGGGACCUUAAUAUAUGACAAAUUAUCUUACAAAGGAAGGGCUUCAUGCGAGAGUACAUGCAUAGGAUUUAGUUGAUACUUCCUCAACAUAGACACAUAAAAGACAUUGUGAAUACUGGCUAGUUCUGGCGGUAGGGCCAAUCUGUAGACGACAGCUCCAACCUUUUC